AAAUGAAGGUCCCAGCAGAGGGGUAUGAAAGUCAAAAUAAGAUAACUCUCUAACACUAAAAUACCUUUGUAGAUUGAUAUGUAUUGGCCGAUGAUUCGUAGGACGCCCAAAUGCUUCUUUGAUUUUUGCAGCAUCUGGAACCCUCGGCUACAUCCUA
rnacentral:snoRNA from 1 species